rnacentral:rRNA from 1 species
UACGGAGGGAGCUAGCGUUGUUCGGAAUUACUGGGCGUAAAGCGCACGUAGGCGGCUUUGCAAGUUAGAGGUGAAAGCCCGGGGCUCAACUCCGGAAUUGCCUUUGAAACGGGAUCGCUUGAGUCCGAGAGAGGAUGGCGGAAUUCUUAGUGUAGAGGUGAAAUUCGUAGAUAUUAGGAAGAACACCGGUGGCGAAGGCGGCCAUCUGGCUCGGUACUGACGCUCAGGCGCGAAAGCGUGGGGAGCAAACAGG